AGUCAAAUGGAUUUGUGCAUUAGCAGCAGGCCAAGAAUAACUCCUGCUUCUAACUAACGCAGUAAUUUCCAAGAUGCUGAUGCAUCCAAGAGAAGUCAAUGGAGCUUCACCGCUCGGCAACCGGUUGCCAUUUCCUGAGCUAUGGCUUGGCUCCUUCUCUCUGAUCUGUUUCCCCGAAACCACAGAAGGCAAAGGAAACCCGAGUUUCAGUCCUGCAACCUGGAGAGCCAGAGGUCCUAAACUGGUUUGAAUGUCAAGAAAGAUCAGGAGAAGUACAUUGAGUGAUAAAGAAGGAGGCCGAACUAUCAAGGUCUGGAACUCUGUUGUCUGCAGAGGUUCUUGAAUCAAUACGGCAGUUCUGCUUCGGGGAAUGAUGAAAGAAAGAAAAGAAGCGAUAAAUCGUCAGGCAAAACAGCCUCUCACACAACACCUUUCGCCCUCAAUUCCACGAAACUUCUCAGGGUCUCACGGUGAGGGUUCCUGAAUCAAGCAAGAAGCAGCAUUUUCAGCUGCUCUGCAUGCAUUCGGUAUGGGAGCCAGAGCACAAAUAAAUUAGAACUGAGUCUUUUUCCUAAAUCAUAUUCUACUGCUACCCUUUGCUCCACAAAAAGUUUGCCUGGAGGUGGC